GGCGGGGCUGCCGUCAGCUGUUCGCGGCGCGCCCGCCGGCGCCGGCCGCAGUUUGGCGGCGCGGAGGCUGCAGCGGCGGCGGCGGCUCCUCCCGGGACGCCCCGUCCCCGAGGGACGCCCGUCCCGCUUCUCGGCCUGAAAUUCCUCUUGCUAGUCUUCCAUUCUGUUAAAUGCUUCGCAAACCAGAGCAAAGGAAGAGACAUGAAGAGUUGAAUUUCACUGCCUUGUUUGGAACUGGGUGGAAAUCCUGGAGAUGGAUCUCUUAGGAGUCUGUCUUCCAAUUGGGUUAGAUGCACAGGAGCAAUGGAUCGCCCCAACUACCUGGAAGAGGACUAUUCUAGCCUGGAUGGGCUGGACGAUGACGUGUUUCACUCUGAUGACUUUGGACUUGCAGGUCAGCCUGGUGAGAUGACUGCAACUGGCUUUUUCACACAGAACCAGUCCUACAGCUGCCUUCUGGGGAGGUUUCAACUAUUCCCCCUCACACACUGCUGUGGUCCCGGUAUCAGGCAUCCUGAGCAGCAGGACAAGGCAACUCAAACACUCAGCCCAUCCUCUUCCAGUCAGGAUGUUAUGUUGCCUUGUGGAGUCACUGAAGAGCCACGGAGACUCUUCUAUGGGAGUGCUGGUUACCGUUUACAUGUCCCUCCAGCUGGCUUUGUGUUGGAUCCGCACCUCCAGGAGGAAGCUCGGGAAGGUCAGCGGGAAGCACGAGCUGAGGUGCAGAUUGCACGGAAGUUGCAGUGCAUCGCCGACCAGUUCCACCGGCUCCACAUGCAGAGGGUAGGGUGUCUCUGGAGGGGAAACUGGGGGUUUACCUGUCCAAGAGUGCUACUCUGAAGACUGGCUCCAGCCAUCAGCUAAGUGAACUGUUGUUUAAGACAGCAUACUGCCAACAGUGAUAAAAUGGCAGGAGUAUCCUGAUGGAUUUUGCUUAUGCUAGAUUGCUUGCUCUUCCUAAAGACUGGCAGGUGGAGGGAAGAGAAUAUGAGGGAAUAUGAAUAUAAGCAUUUACUGCCCAGGAAGGGAGCUCUUCUGUGUUAGAUGCUGCUAUUCCAGCUCUUCCUGUUCAUCAGCAGUGGGGUUUGAGGCUUUUCCCAGGAAUCUUCCUCUUGCUUUUUAUUACAACCUUUACUCAUCUCCAUUCUCCUCACCACCAGCACCUUCUCUUCUGUGGAACAUGUAGCCAUCAGUGGCUUAUGUCAGCUCCUUGUCUUGGAGAUAACAAGCCUGGGUCUGUUCUAACACUUCUUGUUUUCUAAUGGUAGUUCUAUGUAACGUUGUAAAGAAUAUUUAGAUCAUACUAGACUUGCUAGCAGCUACUAGUAAGACAGUCAUAGCUAGUGUCUCAGACUUGUGACUAACUUCCUCACCACAAAAUACACCUGUAAGAUGCUAUCAGGUCUGAAAAACACACUCCAGAUUCUUGGUUUCUUAAAAAAAAAAACAAAAACAAAAAACAACAACAACAAAAAAAAAAACCCACCAAAAAAACCCAACAACAACAAAACCCCAAAAAAACCCCAUCAAACCAAAACCCAAACACUGCUGUUCAAAGAAACAAAAUAACCAUUACCCCCAGAACCCUCGAUUCUUUCUUCCUUGCUCUCCUUCCCCUUUGAGUAGAGAUAAAAUGGAAAUCUCAGCCCAUACAGAGAUGGUCAGAGGUGGCAGAAGCUUGGCAGUUCGCAGCAGUUUGCCACUUCUAUGCAAGCCCAACAAGGAGGGUGUGCAUCUGCUUGUAUAUGAAGAAAUUUUGAUGACUUCAGACAGGGACAGAAAGUUUAUCCUACUCCAAGUGAGUUUGUCCUCUGUUAACUGUGGGAUGGUUUACAGCCCUUCUCAAAGGUAAGUGAGGGACUCUGUCCGGGUCAGAGAGUGUGGCUUGUGGCUGGGCAAAGGCUUGGUCCCCUCUGUGUCACCUGAGAGAUGAGGAAAUUCUGGGACUCCUGCAUCAUCCUAAUAAGUGGAUGAUUAAAGAAGGAAAAGGAAGAUUAGCCUGUAGAAAUGUAGAUGGGGCUAUGAAUGUCAUUUAGGGAACUGCAGGAAUAAAGAGCUACCACGAGAUUUUUAACGUGUUGUUUGUGGUUGAAUGGGGUUUUCCCCGGUGGCGCCUUUUCGCCAGCGUUAGCUGCAGGCCCCGCUCUCUCGCCAGGCUGUCUCACAGCAAAGGGAAGGUUUAACCAACUUGGCAGAGGAGCCCUGCACUGAACUGGUGGAACUGGUUGUAACUUGACCCCUUUCAUCUGGGGGGAGUGUCCCUAUCUGAUGCCCGUGCCUUGGAAACGCGUCCGGGAGCGCCCACCCGCCCCGGCCCCACUAGGGCAGGGCAGGCGGGGUCGGGCUGCCGGUGCCCGGCCGCGGCUCCCGGUGCCGGCCCGGCCGCGCAGCCCCGGCCGGCGGCCAGCCCGGCGUGUGGAGCCGUAGUAAACAAAGGCGUCCGGCUGUGCUGGGCGGCGCGGCCCGGCCCGGCCCCCGGGGCCCGCCAGAGGAGGGGCUCCGCGCUCUUUGUUUGAACUGGAACAGCAACAAGUUGUAAAGGGGACAGGAGCGGGGGGCCUUCAAACAUUUAAAUUUGAAAACAAAACGGGGAAAAAAAUACCAAAACCAACUAGAAAACUUAACCCGAGGACAGAGUAGUUCAGCCAGUGGUUAUCCACAGCCUGACCCUGGGAUAGGCCUUGGCAUUUGGAUCUGCUAAGGGAUUCUUUCUUGUUUGUCAGGGAAACUGAGUGUUGAGCCACAUAUUGGUGUCCAAAGCACUGAUCCCUGUGGAGUGUUUUGUUGUCAUGCCCACUCCCUUCUCUCCCAGUCCUGCAUGGAGGAUUUCCUUUGGCUUUUGGCAUGAAUCCCUCUGGAGAACCCCCUGUCCUAUGUGCAGUGACUGCCCAGCCCGUUGCUGAAGGAGCAGGCGGUCUGCCCUGGAGACACGUGAGCAGUUCACAAUGUGCUGUGGUUUGGAAGGGGCAGUCUCUGAGGCAUGGAAAACUAGGCUGUCGUUUAUCUUGCUGUGAAACUAACCCCUGAUUUGAAACCCCAUUUCAGCUUGUCUCAAACAUUUGGUCAAAACCAACUUUCCAGAGUGGUGUCUUGAAUCAGAUUUAGAAUACCACAAAGUUAGUCACACCAGUGUGGUCUUGUGAAGUCCUGAGAGAGAGAGCAAGCUUGGUUUUCAACAAGCUGUGCCUGUUUUCAGAGCCUAAAAAACAUUUAUCUGUGAACCUGUGAAAAGAAAAUGCGUGUGCCCUUCCAGUGGAAGUUAGGAAAGGCUUUUAGCACUGGAAUGGUGCAUCCAGCUAGCUCAAGAGCUGCCUUCUCAUGGCUCUUGACUUCUGUGAGACUCUCCAGCAGUUCAGCAUCAGCAGAACAGAAAUCAAGUGUGGUGGCAGCUCUUUCUCUUCCUACACAACUUGGCCUUAAACACGGAGGUGAACAGGAACCACACUGGGCAGAGGUGAGCUUCGCCCGCCUGUUUCAGGCCACAUCCAGUCUGCAGGGAGCACUGAACAAACACUGGUUCGGGGGCGAGACAUUGCACACCGCCGGCCGGAUGUGAGGACUGACUUUCUGAUCCUCGUCUUCAAGUUUGGGUGUUUUUACGGACUCUUCUUUGCUGCUGCCUGCCUCGUGAGGCGGGGAGCUCUUGUCCAACACUGUUGAAGGAAAGCCAGAAUGUGGGUGUGUUUGGUAAAGCUUGCUGCUGGCUCCCCGCACCGGUGACCUCUGUGCAAGGGAGGCAGGUAUUAGACUGAAGGCUUCCUCUGCCCUGGGUAGUAGUGGAUGGUAGAGUGCAGGAGUGUCAUUUUGGCUGCUAGUUGAAAGUGAUGCCUGGGAUUGAUGACUAAACAUACUUGGGGUAUCUUUUAGAGCAGAGAUGCUCAAUUCCUCCACAUUUUUAGCAAAGAAAAGCAUUCAAGUAUCUUGGUUCCAUCAAGUUACUUGUUUUAUUCAUUGGUUACUGUUCAUUUCAUUGCACCCUGUGUGAGAGAAAACCACAAAGAAAUCUGACCUCUUCAGCCAUUCCAUUGGGCACCACUUGCAGCUCUCUCACAAGAAGUUGUUCUUUGUCAUUGCUAUCAAUUAAAAAAUAAAUCAGUAGAAGGGUCUGAAAAAGAAACCUCCUUGGGGGUGCUGGUGGCUGUUAGCUUCUGCCGCUGCCUGCCUUCAGUUCAGUGUUCUCAGUGCCCAUGAGCCAGCAGGAAGCCAGAAUUCAUGGAAUAUGGCACAAGUGUCAUCCUUCUACAAUGCUAAUGUAUAUGUUUUUAGUAGUUUUAUGAUGGAUGUUUAUUUUAUUUUGGUUUUCUUUUCUCUUACUACAUAAUGUGGUUGGUCACGAAGGCUUAGAUCCCAGGCAUCUGAUAAUUUUGCUUCAGGAUUUGACAGGGAAAUUAAUUAGCAUCUAGUCUGAUAUGUACACUGUACAAGCAGUCUGUCCAUUACUCUAGUGUGUAGUGUUUGGAGGCUGCUGUAAGCAUAUACUGACUAGCAGCAGUAAUGUUAUUUCAAGGGAGAUCUUCUAUCAGUUUGUAUGCACUCAGAAGUUUGUCCAUAUGGCUGACACUAUUGGACCAGCACAGGGAAACUACCCUACCAAAAGGAAGUAGCCUUAAAUAUUGAUGGCAGCUUCUCUGUAGCCUUAAAUAUACUUAGUUCACAGACCCAGUGACAGCUAGGGUAAAACAUGAACAGAGAAGCAAUACAGACCUUAUUAUUUUUUUCUGAAAAUUUCCAUAUUGCCACUGCACCUUUUUGUAGGUCUCAAAUGAUACAACCAGGUUGAGGAAGAGCUGUCCAGAGAAUUGUUCUUCAGUUGUGUUAGAAAUGUCCAGCUCCAGGUGUUGAGAAAUUCUUCUGCUCUUGAUCCACUCUGAAAAAUAUUCAUUACUGUACGGAAGAGUCGUUUACUUGCACAUAUGCUUUCCUUCUCCACUCCUCUUUGCAUAUUUGUCUCUAAUUCCUGCUUUCUCUGGUAUUUGUGUAAUCUCAUCAUUGCACUGUAGUGUCUGGUAACAGUUUGCUGUACAGAGUUAAAUUUGGACCUUCUUGCUUUCUCUCAGCCCCAUUCUCUUUUUCAUCCAGCCUCUACUGUGGCAAGAUGUACUUUAGCUCCCUGAAAGAGGUUCCCAAGCCUUUUUCACCCUCAUAUAUUCACAGUCACUCUCUUCUAACAUAAGGAGAGAGUUUAUGUGAGAAAAGCUUUUUUUUCUCUCCUUUUGUGUUGUUUUUCUAGCUAGAGCUAGAGUAAUAUGUUUGUCCAUGAUGGUUAAUUCAUAUAAAUGAAUCUCAAGUAAUAUUUUUGGGGGUGGGUUUUAUGGAGAGGGAGGGUGGGAGGUUUGUUUUAGGAAGGGGAAUUGGUUUUGGUUUUGUGUUGUUCCUUUAAGCAUGUGCACUACAGAGUUACCCAGAGUGAUCUAAGUGAUAGCUGACUGCUGCAGCAGGAUGGAAGCUGCUCUCUGCCCAUGCUGGCAGAGACAAGGCUUUCCAUACUUUGCUUUGCACAGUCUGCUUGAUGUAAAUGCUGGUCAUUGGAGAAAGAGGACUUAAAUGGUGGGGAAAGACUGAGGUGUAGUGCAAGCACAGAUUGAGCUGGGGACUCCUGAGAAGCCAAAUGUUAAGGAGAAGACUCUUAAAUAAGAAGCUUUUUAAGAGGCAGAAGUGGAAGUGUGGAGGCUCAGGAAGCAAGGCAGCAAUGAUGCCUCCCCAUGUGACAUGCCAUGGAUGUGAUGCUUGCAUUUGCCUCUCUUUGCCAGGACCCUUUUAUCAAGAACAGUCAAUGUUACAUCAUAACAGCCCUGCAAACUAUGAAAAAUUCAGCAACUGCUUCUGACAUUUAAAAAUCAUUGUGAGCUUUCCCCUUCCCUCUGCCUUGACUUGAUGGCCAAACAGGCCAGUAAGGCCUGUUCUCUGGAUGCAUAAGCUGGAAAGAUAAGUCUGGUACUGCCACUUUUAGUGUUAAGACCCGACCAAUUUAUCUAGGACAAGAGUCUUCUUAACAUGGAGAAACAAGUACCUGAAAUGGUUCCUCAGUCAGGCUGCUGGCCUCAGUAAAGUCAUUUGGCUCAGGGAAAGACACAUCUUUGCCAGUCCGUAUUUCCCACUGCAACAACAGACUUAUCAAAAUUGGUCAUGCCAGGGUCUCAAAACCUCCUUGAACAACAAUACUUCAUUGGAGACAUAGAGCUAAUGCUAGACAAAGGCCGACUUCCUGCAAUAUGUGUGUUGGUUACUGGUGCCAGAGAUUUACAACCACUGAUAAUAUAUUUUAAUUAUAUUCCAUAUCUGCGUAUCUCAGAGAAAGGAAAUAUGCUCUGUCAACCCCAAAGUCUUACUUUGCUUCACGUAGAUUUGGAGGGGCAGGCUGGUUAUUCGCUUAGGGAAAAGCAACUACUUCAUACUUAAAGUCUCACCUACUUGGGGAAGUAGUGGGAAGGUUUCACACAUUCAUCAACAAACACAUGCACAGCACUCAGGUAUGUGUCACCCAUUCUGUGUUUGUAAGGCCCCUUGAACACCUGCUGGGGAGAUCUUCCCUGCAGAGUAGAUACUGCAGCGUUGCCAGUGACAUUUGUCGAUUUUUUUUGAGAAAUGGUUUCAAAGAACAUGGUUUAAAUCCUGUGCUGAAGGAUUAUGCUCAGGUUUUUAGAUAUGAGUUUGUUCUGGUGUAAAGAAUGGGACGCUUUCUCUCUGUGCUGUAAAACUAGAGUCUAACAAUUUAGAAAGAAGAGUUGGAUCUUUCUCAUAAAACAAAUUCCUGUUUUUAAUGAGCAGCUCUUAAGAAAACCUUGAGCUGCUGCUGAUGGUGCCAGCAGCCUUUAAAUAUCUUACUUGCCUUCUCCAGAUCUCCAAAAUGGCUUCAGAACUCAACUGUCCUUACUUGAGGGAUGGAGUUCUUCCUAUCCCUUCCCAGCUUCCUACUCUUUUGAUUAUCUUGUAACCUGCCCAUCCUAGGAUCCAGCAAGCCUGGUGCUAGUAGGGAAUAGUUAGCUUUACUUUUGUUUCCUGCAAUUCUUGAAAGCUGAGCCAGUAAUCACAAAGUGACUGCCCAGGGAUAGCUGCAAACUGCUGCAAAUAGGAUACAAAAAAAGGCAGGAGAGGAUGAAAUUGCAUGGAAAGUGCUGCUGCUGGAUCUGUAUACAGCUGCAGCCUUUUCUCAAGGUGCUGAUGAUCCCUGGUAGCAUUGAAUUCCUGCAUAACUGAUCACAUAUUUCAGUUUAAAUAGGUUGUUACUAAAUAUUUGUUGGCUGAACUCUUGUUUGAGGAGUCCUGAAAGAAACUUCCUUGUCAGCCUUUGUUUUGGAGCUGUGUGUCAGCAAAGAAACAGAGGUGAGGAACUCAGUCUUCCUUGGCAUAGGAAGUGUGAUUGCAAAGACAUCUUUCUUUCUUUCUACUGGCUGUUUAUUUUGUCCCCUCAAGCCUGGAUUAAAGGUAUAGGCAAUGUGUGUAUGUGAAGUUACUACAGUCCUGGAGUUGCUCCAUAGCAGUCACCAGACCUGUACCCAAGGUGGAACUUCAUUUGGUGUGGCACUUGGCACUCUUCUGGGAAACAGCAGAUCCUGACCAUUAGUAGACUAGGAAGACUGGUUUAUUGGUUUUGUUUCUUUUUUUUUUUUUUUUUUUUUUUUUUUUUUUUUUUUUUAAAGAAAAAGCAAAAUUACUUGAGGCAGUUAUUACAAUGUGACCCUAGCAACUGUUCAAUGAAUUCCACCCUUCUACUGCUGGUCCUGACCCAUAUCUCUGCUGAAGCUGUGGGAAUGGUGAGACUGUGACAUGCUGAAUGGUGUGAUAUUGAGGGUAUUUUUAAAGGGAAAAAUAGGGAAAGCACUCCGUGUAUGUGCUAGAAUCAAACAAGAAUGCAAAUUUGUGGAGGUCUUGCCUUGUUUUACCAGCAGUAUUUACUGUGGGAUCAUAAAUAAAAUAAUGGAAUGCUGGUUCAUAUUAAUGGGAGGUCUGCCCAUGAACCGAGCACUGUUGAGUAUUAGCAUAAUUUGACAACAAAGGUUUUAAUAAUGUCCUUCAAAAGAGUCUAUCUUUCAAACUGGCAUUUGUGAUCAUUUGCCUACCUGUUGCCUUUGAUUGUUUUAGCAAGAAGAAAUACCUCAAGGAAUUGAUAAAAGAUUCUAGGACAAUCUUUUACAGUUCCUAAAGACUUCAGUGGUCUCUGUUUCUUUGGUUUGCAUGUGUUCACACAGGUGUUACACAGCUCAGCUCUUCUCCACCAGGAAAAGCAGAAAAGACCAAACACAUCAAAUGCACUGGAAUGUAAUUGUGUGUGUGUGCGUGUGUGUGUGUGUGUAUGUGUGUGAAUGUGUGUGUUCUUGAACUGAAUGCAGUCUGUCACCCCUUACCCCUUCUUUCUUCCAUGUGCCUCACCUUCCCCCUUAGCCACAGAAAGGAGGGUCUCUUCCUGCGAAUCCCAUGCUGGAAGUUGGUUUCUGGGAAGCGAAACCUAAUGUCUGUGGGCUGUUUUUUAAAGCCAUGUUUCAGUUCUGUCUUCAGACUUUUUGCUGCCUUUGGGGAACAGAGGGGUGGGAAGGGUAGAUUGUUAAACUGUUUUUAAAAUCUGUUAUGGAAAUUUUGCAUGUAUAAAGUUAUUCUUAAAUCUAAAGGAGUCUCCCCAAUUUGUGGACAUGGCUCCAGGAGAGCAUCAUCACAGAUUCCUCAACUCAGUUUUAGAUGAGACCAUCUAUGCUCAAAUAGUCUGUACUCCUCAAAGGAGUAUUUGGUGACAAAAGGAGGAGGGAUUGGUGUGAUGGAAGGACAACAUUGUCAGUAUGUCCUUAAAUGCAUGUCAGAAGUUAGGCUUGUAAAAGGGAAAUUUUAAAACAAUCCAGGAUAUGUAUGUCUGUUUCUACUGGGUGCAUUUGAAAAUCCUGCCACUAAAUUUGAGUUUGGUAUGUAAAUGUUGGGGUUUUUUUGGUUAAAAUAAUCGUGGCUCUCUUGUGUUCUCUUCCUUGGUAUGUAGUACAGUCUCCCAUGUUUCUAGGUGAAAUUCACUGGUAAGAAUACUGUGAAAUGUGGAUUCACAUUUUCUUCCCCUCCUUCUCCCCUGAUUUCUGCAUGACUGUUCUUCAGUGGGAAAUUAAAAAAAAAACCAACAAAGUUUUUCAGAGUCCUUCAUCUGGAAAACAAAAAGGGUAAGAUGAGCUAGAAUUUGCAAUGUACUUAAUAAAUUUCCUCUCAGUGGAGGGUUUCCCCAUGACUUCUGAUUUUCACCAGAAUAUGAUACUGUCCUGCUGCAGAAGUAAACCUGAUGCUCUCCUGUGAGAUUUCUGUCUGGAUUAGUCCUGAAGUGCACACACCUUCUUUGCCAUGGACUGAGACCCAGUGAGAAUGUAGCAUUUUGUUUAUCCUGGUUGUGUGCCUCCAGGACUCCUGCCUGUACCAAUGGUGACUGGGCAGAGCUCCUUUUUUGUAUCUGUGCAGUAUAUUUGCUUUGUGCUUUCUUCUUUGGUGCUUUUUAAUACUUUAAUACUUGGAUUUUUUUUUCUAAUAACUGGUACAAUUUUUAAUAAAAUUGUUAAAUUUG